GGAAUAUAAGAAAUCGUCUUUUAGCUUUUAGCUAAAAAAACUAAGAAUCACCUCUUAAAUAUCUUAUUUAAAAAACCGAUUCUUAGCUUUUUUAAUUGAAAAUUAAGAAACUGUUUCUUAUAUUCC
rnacentral:pre_miRNA from 1 species